GACGUAGGGCGCGAGCGUUGUCCGGAUUUAUUGGGCGUAAAGAGCUCGUAGGCGGCUUGUCGCGUCGUUCGUGAAAACCCGGGGCUCAACUCCGGGCUUGCGGGCGAUACGGGCAGGCUAGAGUUCGGUAGGGGAGACUGGAAUUCCUGGUGUAGCGGUGAAAUGCGCAGAUAUCAGGAGGAACACCGGUGGCGAAGGCGGUGCUCUGGGCCGAUACUGACGCUGAGGAGCGAAAGCGUGGGGAGCGAACAGG
rnacentral:rRNA from 1 species